rnacentral:rRNA from 1 species
GAUGAACGCUGGCGGCGUGCUUUACACAUGCAAGUCGAACGGUGAAGGCGGAGCUUGCUCUGCUGGAUCAGUGGCGAACGGGUGAGUAACACGUGAGCAAUCUGCCCCUGACUCUGGGAUAAGCGCUGGAAACGGCGUCUAAUACUGGAUACGAGCUGCGAAGGCAUCUUCAGCAGCUGGAAAGAAUUUCGGUCAGGGAUGAGCUCGCGGCCUAUCAGCUUGUUGGUGAGGUAAUGGCUCACCAAGGCGUCGACGGGUAGCCGGCCUGAGAGGGUGACCGGCCACACUGGGACUGAGACACGGCCCAGACUCCUACGGGAGGCAGCAGUGGGGAAUAUUGCACAAUGGGCGAAAGCCUGAUGCAGCAACGCCGCGUGAGGGACGACGGCCUUCGGGUUGUAAACCUCUUUUAGCAGGGAAGAAGCGAAAGUGACGGUACCUGCAGAAAAAGCGCCGGCUAACUACGUG